GAUUGAAGAACGUAGUGAAAUGCGAUAAGUAAUGUGAAUUGCAGAAUUCAGUGAAUCAUCGAAUCUUUGAACGCACAUUGCGCCCCUUGGUAUUCCGAGGGGCAUGCCUGUUCGAGCGUCAUUAUAACCCCUCAAGCUCAGCUUGGUGUUGGGGCCUGCUGCACUGGCAGCCCUUAAAAUCAGUGGCGGCGCCAUCUGGCUCUAAGCGUAGUAAUUCUUCUCGCUAUGGAGUCCUGGUGGAUGCUUGCCAUCAACCCCCAAUUUUUCUAUGGUUGACCUCGGAUCAGGUAGGGAUACCCGCUGAACUUAAGCAUAUCAAUAAGCGGAGGA
rnacentral:misc_RNA from 1 species